UACAGAGGGUGCGAGCGUUGUCCGGAAUCACUGGGCGUAAAGCGCACGUAGGCGGCAUUGCAAGUCGGAUGUGAAAUCUUAUGGCUUAACCAUAAAAGUGCAUCCGAAACUGCAGUGCUUGAGUACUUAAGAGGAUCGCGGAAUUCCCGGUGUAGAGGUGAAAUUCGUAGAUAUCGGGAGGAACACCAGUGGCGAAGGCGGCGAUCUGGGAAGAUACUGACGCUGAGGUGCGAAAGCGUGGGGAGCAAACAGG
rnacentral:rRNA from 1 species